AGAGUUUGAUCCUGGCUCAGAUUGAACGCUGGCGGCAGGCUUAACACAUGCAAGUCGAGCGGAAACGAAGGUAGCUUGCUACCAGGCGUCGAGCGGCGGACGGGUGAGUAAUGCUUAGGAAUCUACCGAGUAGUGGGGGAUAGCCAUUGGAAACGAUGAUUAAUACCGCAUAUAUCCUACGGGGGAAAGCAGGGGACCUUCGGGCCUUGCGCUAUUCGAUGAGCCUGAGUGAGAUUAGCUAGUUGGUGGGGUAAAGGCCUACCAAGGCGACGAUCUCUAGCUGGUCUGAGAGGAUGAUCAGCCACACUGGGACUGAGACACGGCCCAGACUCCUACGGGAGGCAGCAGUGGGGAAUAUUGCACAAUGGACGAAAGUCUGAUGCAGCCAUGCCGCGUGUGUGAAGAAGGCCUUCGGGUUGUAAAGCACUUUCAGCGAGGAGGAAAGGUCAGUAAGUAAUAUUUGCUGGCUGUGACGUUACUCGCAGAAGAAGCACCGGCUAAUUUAGUGCCAGCAGCCGCGGUAAUACUAAAGGUGCAAGCGUUAAUCGGAAUUACUGGGCGUAAAGCGCGCGUAGGUGGUUUGUUAAGUUGGAUGUGAAAGCCCAGGGCUCAACCUUGGAACUGCAUUCAAAACUGACUCACUAGAGUACGAGAGAGGUUAGUGGAAUUUCCUGUGUAGCGGUGAAAUGCGUAGAGAUGGGAAGGAACACCAGUGGCGAAGCGACUGACUGGCUCGAUACUGACACUGAGGUGC
rnacentral:rRNA from 1 species